rnacentral:lncRNA from 1 species
UUGAACAAAGGGUAAUUAUUCAUGUGGAUAUGAUGGAAACUUCCGGGGCGGGCAGACAUGUUUCAGCAUCGGUGAAGGAUGAGAUUGUCAGCUUAAAUAGAAAGAUAACCAAAUAAGCCGACUGACGGGAUUGCCAUGGAAAUGUUUCAGAUUGGACUUUCAAGCUAUUAAUGGAUAACCAGCCGCAGUUGUGCAUUCUGAUUCAAUAAUUUGGUCACAGAUGCUAACCCAGUGAUGGUUAGCCGCUAAACAGCAUCAUGCCUAGGGGUGCAAUCAAGCCAAGUCUGAGUCAAAUGGCUAAAGGCUUCAACUAGACUCGAUUUAAAAACUUGAGCUUGACACUCAACUUGAGAUGGAUCAAGCAUUAAUGGUUAAGUUGAAGCUCCACUCGGUAAUAAAAAGAAUAAUACUCGAGAUCUAUUUUUCCCGGCUCAAAUAUUAAUCAAGCCAUACUUGCGCUCAAAUUCGAGCCCAGGUCAUAAUUCAAAUAAUAAUAAUA